CAGUAGCCACGGGAAUACGGAGGGGGCUAGCGUUGUUCGGAAUUACUGGGCGUAAAGCGCACGUAGGCGGCUUGGUAAGUUAGAGGUGAAAGCCUGGAGCUCAACUCCAGAAUUGCCUUUAAGACUGCCGAGCUAGCAGGUGAGAGAGGUAAGUGGAAUUCCGAGUGUAGAGGUGAAAUUCGUAGAUAUUCGGAAGAACACCAGUGGCGAAGGCGGCUUACUGGCUCAUACUGGACGCUGAGGUGCGAAAGCGUGGGGAGCAAACAGGAUUAGAUACCCCUGUAGUCCCUGUCUCUUAUAC
rnacentral:rRNA from 1 species